rnacentral:lncRNA from 1 species
GUCAUCUGUUAGCAAAAAAAAAAAAAAAAAAAAAAAAAAACUAGCCGGGCGGCUUAGUUUUCCCGUAUUUAGUAGCGGUGGACAGAAGGCGCCGGCCUUAAUUACUACGGAAACGAAAACAAUCUUUUAGAAUAGAAAUUUCAUUCGUCCCGAAAUGUUUUAUGCGGGUAUAAACGGCGCCGGGCCCUGGAAAAUGCCCUUAGUCUUCGACUUACAACCGUUCCCACCACUAAUCGGUUAUUGUAUUCUAACUCUUAUACGCCGCAAACAAUUCCCAAACCGGAAUGGCUGGCUACUAGUGCCGUUACCUCCGGAGGGAGUUUUUUUUUGGUCAACAGAUGACGCCACACUCCAUUCUGGAAGAGUGCUGUG